rnacentral:lncRNA from 1 species
CAGGUCUAUCUCAUAAGCAAGGAUCUGCUGUCAGUUGGCUACUGACAGUUUGGGCUGCUAUAGAAAACUGAUUUAAGGAGUGAGUGGUGGCUAGCCAUUACUUUAGGUAGACAGGGAGUUAGUGAAUAAUUUCUAGAUAGUGUAGGUUAGAUAGGCCUGGUGUUUUCCAAGCAAGAAGAAGCUGUCCUCAGAAAAGAGUUAGAGGUAGUUAUUAGGAAUUUUAGAUAGUAUUAGGAAUUUUAGGUAUAUUUAAAGGGUAUAAGCUGUGUGACCCUGGGAGAGUCACUUAACCCCCAUUGCCUACCUCUUACCACUCUUCUGCUUUGGAAUCAAUCCAAGAUGGAAGGCAGAAAUACUCAGAAGAGGAAAGAAGGAUCUGGACCCUUU